CUCCUACGGGGGGCAGCAGUAGGGAAUUUUCGUCAAUGGGCGCAAGCCUGAACGAGCGAUGCCGCGUGAGUGAAGAAGUAUUUCGGUAUGUAAAGCUCUAUCAGCAGGGAAGAAAAUGACAGUACCUGACCAAGAAGCCCCGGCUAACUACGUGCCAGCAGCCGCGGUAAUACGUAGGGGGCAAGCGUUAUCCGGAUUUACUGGGUGUAAAGGGAGCGUAGACGGUUAUGUAAGUCUGGAGUGAAAGCCCGGGGCCCAACCCCGGGACUGCUUUGGAAACUGUGUAACUGGAGUACAGGAGGGGC
rnacentral:rRNA from 1 species